rnacentral:rRNA from 1 species
AUUGAACGCUGGCGGCAUGCCUUACACAUGCAAGUCGAACGGCAGCACGGGUGCCUGCACCUGGUGGCGAGUGGCGAACGGGUGAGUAAUACAUCGGAACGUACCUUAUCGUGGGGGAUAACGCAGCGAAAGCUGUGCUAAUACCGCAUACGCCCUGAGGGGGAAAGCGGGGGAUCGCAAGACCUCGCGCGAUUAGAGCGGCCGAUGCCUGAUUAGCUUGUUGGGGGGGUAAAAGCCCACCAAGGCGACGAUCAGUAGCUGGUCUGAGAGGACGAUCAGCCACACUGGGACUGAGACACGGCCCAGACUCCUACGGGAGGCAGCAGUGGGGAAUUUUGGACAAUGGGGGCAACCCUGAUCCAGCAAUGCCGCGUGAGUGAAGAAGGCCUUCGGGUUGUAAAGCUCUUUUGUCGGGGAAGAAACACCGGCUCUAACACAGUCCGGGAAUGACGGUACCUGAAGAAUAAGCACCGGCUAACUACGUGCCAGCAGCCGCCGUAA